rnacentral:rRNA from 1 species
UACGGGGGGGGCAAGCGUUGUUCGGAAUUACUGGGCGUAAAGGGUUCGUAGGUGGCCAACUAAGUCAGACGUGAAAUUCCUCAGCUUAACUGGGGAACUGCGUCUGAUACUGGUUGGCUUGAGUGCAGGAGAGGAACGCGGAAUUCCAGGUGUAGCGGUGAAAUGCGUAGAUAUCUGGAGGAACACCGGUGGCGAAGGCGGGUCUCUGGGCCGUAACUGACGCUGAGGAGCGAAAGCGUGGGGAGCGAACAGG